GUGAAGCAGACGCCAUCUUUGCCGUGUGCUCUCGCUUUUCGGAGUUUUAUACAUUCUGGUGAUGCAAAGAAGGCUGAUACCGGAAGCAUUUCUAGACCUGGUACAGGUAGCAUUUCUAGACCUGAUACAGGGAGCAUUUCUAGGCCCGAGACAGGGAGCACUUAUAGACCUGAUACAGGGAGCACUACUAGACCAAUGGACUUUGUUAGAGGAAUUAUAGAGGAAAGUGGAAUACGUGGAUUUGGAGGAUUUCCUCUUUCGCCCUAUACUGUUGAGCAGAAUGCUGAUAUCGU
rnacentral:lncRNA from 1 species